rnacentral:lncRNA from 1 species
AAUUUUACCCAUAAGAUGAAUAAAUGGGAUGACCGUGAUUUGAAAUCAAACUCCCUACAUAUAUAUAAUGCAAUGUCUCUGUCAACUGAGCUAAGCUCACUUUUUCUUCCAUUUUACUAUCAAUGUUUUAUUUCUCUUUUCGUUUGUUUUUCUUUUAUUUUUUUAUUGUUUUCUUUAAUAAGAGUCUCACAUCGGUUGCGAGAUGACCUGAAUAUGUGUUUAUAUACUAGAGGCAAUCAUCACCUUACAAGCCGGAUUUGUAGGGUUGAAUUAGGCCCAAUACCCAUUUCUAAGAAAUAGCAAAAUUUUUUUUCUUUUCUUUCUUUAAUAGCAAGUUGAUCGGGGCAUUAUCAUUCAGAUUGCUAGCGGAUAUUACAAAAUAUCCUAUCAACAAAAUUUCAUGAUUAAUUAAUUUUCAAUCUUAAUCAGUGAUGGUGGCCGGU